GUUUGCCAACAACGCUAGCUAACUAACUGAAGCGCUCUGUUGUUACUUUUCCUGCUAGCGGCAGCAGGGUGUACUGUGGGGUUGCCAGUUGUGUUACUGCAGAUGAUUGUGGAUACACAUGCUCAGGAGUUAUAGCUAGGGCGACCAAAUGAAGUGCACCGUUACCUUGAAUAACAGCAUUUGGGAUCAUGUAAGUAAACAACUCAACACACUGUAUAACAAAGAUCUAGUUGUUUUUAGACUUUUUAAAUAUUGCAAUGUUAUAUAUGACACAUUUAACUCAAAUAUCAUAUAUGCCUCUUAGAAAAGCUUGUGUAGAAAUCUCAAUAUUUGGUGUUAACUUGCUGUGCAAUUUUCUCAAUUGCUCCUGCAGUUUGAAUUUCAAUGCUUUCUCCGCAACGUCCGUGGAGGGCUUCUCCCUCCGCUUUUGCCAGUUCUCUUUGAGGUCUUGUAUAUUUGGAUUUCCCGCUUCACUGCUCCACCCCAACAUGUUCAUUUCCAACUGCCCAUCUCCAUUUACAACCUGUUUUUAUCAACUUUUUUCACAAAGCACAACAAAACAGAGGGAGGGUAGCCUCGCUGCUUGUGGGGGGCGAACACAGCCAGGAACAUUGUCCAUGAACUUCUCCUCAUCUACAUCCCCCAGUGUUAUAGACAAACAAUCCUUUCCAUAUGCAGUGGACGGGGUCAUGGCGUUAACAGAGGGAGGAAUGCUUUGGGGAGAAAAUAUUGUCCAGCAAUGACACAGAAGUAAUUUGGGUCUCGCUGAGUGAUUUCAUCAGGGCCUUUUGUUGCCUCAAAGUGUUUGACCCAGAGGUCCCUGUCAGCCCUGUUGUUAAUGGGAGCCGGAGCAGAGUGACAGCCCCAGAAAGUAAAACAUUUUACUACUAAUAGUGGGCCUCCAGAGGCUUAGGCAUAAAUAUUUAAGCUCUUCUCCCUUGUCCCAAAUACUGGGGGGUCUCCAUGGUGCAUUUAUCUAUAAUGCAAGAAAAAGAGCAAAUAUAUCCGCUAGAUGCUUCUUUACCGGCUUGUUGGCACUUUUUUUUUCACCACACCCUCAGAGUUGUUAAAUGGAAUAAGAGGGUGAGUUAACUAAAAGUUUUUGCAGAAGGACCGUGUGUUGUUUUCAAGCCUCGUCCAGCUUCUUGGGGCCGCAGGACCGCAAAUAUAAACUCCCGUCAUCAAUGAGGUCUGAGAAGAUUUCCCUAAUAUAGCCCGGCACGGAGGGGAACGUACCAGGCCCCGGCCUAUUUCUCAAAGUAAACUUCAUUAAAAAGGCUAUGUGGCUUGUGAAGGUGGUCUGACGUGCCUUGAAUGAUGGUCUCCACAAACAAAGCUGCUACACAAGCCAUCGAAUUAUCUCUGUCAAACUUUGGCGUAAUCUGAGCUGAUCCUCUUAAAAAUAUUUAAAUGAAAACAUUUGCACAUCAAUGGGCCUCCAUGGCAACACUGUGUGUAUUCUUCUUCGGGGGUGCCUCUUUAACACUGAGCUUUAGAAAAGCACAUCUCCUCUGUUGUGUUGACAAACAACAAAACAAACAAUAUUAAAUGGAGGAGCUGAAGUUUUUCACAUCAUUGAUGGAUAGGGGGAGUCUGAAAAGGGCCGAAGGGAACUCGAGUUGAAUGAACACUCAAGUUUGAGACGCCGGUAAUUAUAUGAUUGGUGCUCGGGGGAUGUGUCGUUAUACAUGGGCUAUAAACCGGAGAGCGUUUUGAAUAAGAUGACCAAGGUUGUGAGAGUGAAUCUAACGCAGGACACUGCACAAGUAUUCACUGAGCCGCCUCAUCAGUACUUUAUGGCUGCAUAUUAUUGCUCUCCGUGGUGAGACCUGUGAGGAGCACCUCUCCCCCUAGUGGCAGAAAACAAAUCAGCCCCCCGCAUGAACUCAGAAUCAUCUCGGGUCUGACUCCCUUUACCCAAACAGCUCCGGCGCCUCCUGAAUACAUUACGACACAAACCCGAGCGCUUUCACGGGCUGCAACAAAAAUGUGAUUAUGUUUGUGAAAAUAGCAGUGCUUCCGUGGUACUUCCUCUGCAUUCUGGGGGAAAAAAAAGGGGGCGAUGUAUUAAUAUAGCUCGUGGCUUAAUUGGGUUUUUGGAUGGUGGAUUAAUUAAUUUGUGGCUAAUAGGCACAAACACGAGAAAACAAACUUCUUUACUUUAAGCUCGGGCUGUACAUGCAUCUAAGUAAGUAAUGUAAAUUAUGCAGAUUGUGUUGAUUCUUCUGACAAAGAGGUUUUUGCAAGAGGUGCUUUAAAAGAUUACUCCUUCCUGGCAUUUUAUCAAUUGUACACUCGCAUAAAUAAGUUACGCCGCAGAUUUGAAUUAUUAGUCUGCUCUGCUCUAACAAAUAUUGGGUGAUGAUUAACGACAGGGGUUGUUUAUAAGUGAACUAAUAUCAUCAAUUUUACAAUACAAUAGCAUGUAGGCUACAUAAUGUACCACAUAUACAAACUGCUACCGAUUUCUACAACAACAAUACAAAUGUAAAUCUUUACCGAAGUUGUCAACCUCACACGUUUUUUGCGAGAGUUUCGAUGUCGGUUUCAGUAUUUAGACUUUCACACGACACAGAACUGGCGUUCUUAGAGCAAAUUAUACUUUUUCUGGUCUUUGAAUCUGCAGUUUCAUCUGAAGUUUCUCCCCUGAAGAAACUGGAUUUCUGAUGCAACACAGAAAAAAAAGACACGGGGUUCGGCUCAGCCUUGUAACUCUGCUGCAAUCCAUGCCUGCAAACUGAUAGCUCACAGAAAUAGAGCCCCCCUGGUCCUCGGCAUGAAAUGUGCUCUAAUCAGCAGAACAUCAAUUAACAGUUGGAAAUAAAAUGUCACCUUGCCGUUUCAGUGGGGAGGGAGGGUUGGUGGGGAGAGAAGACUUCUCCCCCUCAAGCUUUCAUUUGGAAAAGUUUUACAUUCUUUCUUAUGGUAAUUCUCUGAUUGCACUGUGCGCCUAAUGCCACUUUCAUUUACCGGGGGUGUUAAUUAUGUUUGCAAAGUUUUAGAACUCAACAAAGCAAUUAGAGCCAAACUGUUGUAGCAGAAAAUGUAAUUAUUCAAAUAUGUUUUUUUUUUUUUUUCAGGGUCUGCUGUUAAUGUGCGUUUUGUACCAGGAAAUGUCAACAGAGAUAUUGUUUUGACAGGUUAAUUGGAAAAGACAGUCAGAAAAAUCCAAUAUGAUUUUAAGGGGGAUGUUUCCCUAAAUACGAGGGUGUUAAACAAACAUAGAAACUCAAGCUUUAUUUGCUACAUCACAAAACACAAGACUAAUCCUUGUUUUGUCCAACCAAUCGAUCAUUUUCAUUUUCAUUUUGUUUGAUUUAACACAAUUUUCAUGUUCAUCGAUGCAGAUGUUUCAGCAUGAGGUCACACCACCCCUUUAUCCACUUGUGUCUGCAGAUUUUGAUCCAAAAUGAUGGGCUUUGGAUCCUUUUACUCAAAAAACAAAAAAAAAACAAAAAAAGCAGGAUGGAUAUGACACUAUAUGCUGAGGUAGGAGUGUGCAGCAUAUAUCAGCCUGAGUCCUGCCUGUGUGAUAAUUCUCUAAAGUUAAACAGCCAUAAAAGGCUUGAGAACUCUGACCUUCACAAUCUAACUAAGCAAGAGACGCCAAUGAUGUGGAACAGACCCAUCGCGGCGCUCACAUGAUGAUAAACUACACCCCAGCUUUGCUAAAAAAUAACUGUAUGUCUUCGAUGACAUAUAUAGCGCCAGCAUUUCAAUACGAUCCCAAUUUAUUUUGCACUAAAAUGGUUUAUUGUCGGCUAUAAAGCAUAUGCAGCAAGAGGCGGAAGGACGAGGCUGCCUCAGUGCAGCGAGUGUGUCUCAAAGGCAUAUUGUUCUCUGUGCAGAGCUCAAGAGCACAUCUCAGUGAUGUGCCUCGGCUCCACGAAGGAGGCCGUAAAAAACUAUCAAAACUUAUAAACCUUAUCAUUAGUCUGCCUCUUGUCACUCAUCCCUGCUACUUAACUCACAGUUAGCUGUUUUCGUUCGACGACUUUCUACAAACUUGCGAGAAACUUCUAUCAUGAGUGGGAAUUUUGGCACAACAAGAAAUAAUUUGAUCUCAUAAGAAGUGUUUUAUAACAACUCCCCCCCCACACACACACACACACACGCUAACCGAACCACCACCACACACGCAGACACAAAUUCAAUGAAUUUACAGACAUGUACGCUCCCGAGCAGUAUUUGUCACUUUGUGUCAAAAAAGUUAUCAUAGAGAAUCAAACGGGGGAAAACAAAAGGUUUCGCUUGUUGUUGAACGUGUCACGAUACCGGGUCAUUUACAAUCCUAUAACAUAUUCAGACACUGAGCAGAUAAGCGAGCGAUACAUCUUUCACCACGCCUGCCCUUCACACUUGUCAUAGCAGCACCAUAAACAGCAUCCAUAACAAUUGAGCCCACAGAGGGAAAACCUCCAAUAUGCAGAGGAGCCUGGAGCUAGGGCACACUUUGCAAAAGAAAAAAAUGGAUAUGUUUUUCAAGUCGCUGUGAAAAUUCGAAAAACAUUGUUUCUUGUGACAAGUGGCGCGUUCUCGGCAGGAACUUUUAUUUUUUAUUUUUUGCUGCAAACAGCCCUAUAAUUAAUGAAUAAUGUAGUGUUUAGAGGGAGCGUUCCAUUAUUUGUAUACUUGGUGGAGGGAAUCUUUAUGCGUAUGUAAUUAAUCAUAAUUAAGAAGGUUUUGACAAGAGCUUGGGGACAGAGCAGACAAAGCCCUCUUUCUAUAUUCCCAAGGAGGGCAGGAUGAAAUGAUGGGAGAGCUAUGCAGGCAGCUAAUGAGAUACGUUUCCCAGUUAUUGUAGGUCUUGUUGUGAUCUUUGGUUUUCCCCCGUGUUCAGGGAGCUCACCGAGGGUUACAACCGCUGGCUGGAGGAGGGAGGACGCACACCUCCUUGUUUCUCUUAACCUCCUCCUUAGAUCUAUUACAGUGCACUUCACAAGGCUAAGUACCAUUUAAUUUAGUCGCCCUCCCAUAUUUAUCUUCUGCUCGUGAUUUAUGGGGUUCGAAUCUAUGCGCCGGAAAUGUAGGGUAUCUUUUUACUGUGUCGGUCCACAGAUUUUCAGACGACGUUACACAAACAGCCCUUCCUACCUUCCUUCCCUCCCUCCUUUGAUUAAUGUUACCAAAUUAUGAAUGCGGGUCAAAGUAAUUAUUUACAAAUUAUUACAAGUUAUUUCUAUGUACAUUUGUGUUGUUUGCACAUUACAUCUUUGCACUUGUGGCAUAUAGACUAACUUUUUUGAACGUAUCUAUAAUUGUUUAUCUUCUCAUCUUGUCCUUUGUAGUGCUUCCCCCUGAUCAUUUUGUUUCACACGGUGCUUUUUAGCACAAAUUUUAGCAUACGACUACACAUGUGACUUGUGUGUAUGUGACAAACAAACCUCUGAACCCCUGAGAAAUAACAUACCACACAUCUUAGAUAUAUUUUAUUCCCUUUCUGAAUAGUAAAUGAAACCAUAAAGUGAAAUAAUCGAGAUGAGCUGAAGGUCUUCAACAGUGAACAAGCAUCUUGGUUGAUCCGAUCAUUAGUGGACGGCUCUCAGCGAGUCAGUUCACACCUACAGCGGCAUUACAGUGCGUCUCUUGAGUCGCCACUUCUGAUCCGAUCCUCACUUCACCGCUCUUUAUGCAAGUAAACGCGUCAGAGACCAAUUGCGUUUGUUGUUUUUAGCUGGAAAUCCAACAGCGGGUCUCGUGUGUAUUCAAUGAGAAUCCAGCGUCACCUUUAACUGCAAAACAGCUCUAUGUGUCGUCUGUGCAAGCAGCUUAGUACAACCUAUAUUUGUUGUCAGGCAGCGAUCUCUAGCAAUCAUAGUAUUUAUAACGGGAGCAAAGGAGGAAGUCAGGAGUCUGCUGCUACUGCGAUCUUUUUCAUAAAAUUAACCAAGAGGUUUUACUGACUAAACGUACCCAAACCUCGACCAUUUCAAACUGUUAUUAAUGUUACAACAAAGACCCAGUAUGUCUCUUGUUGGUAACAGAUUGUCUAACAGUCAUAGAUGUCAUUCUUGGAACAGUCACCCAAUCGUUUUGAGUGUCCGUGGCAAUCAACCCAUGAAGUCAUAGUGUCGCUUUUUUUGUUUCUUUGUGUUGUCAGAUUAUCAAUUUUUGGUUGGCAGAGAACAUAUGUUUUUCCUUCAGCGUGGCCUAGAAUUUGGGUACACACAGCUAAGAGAAUGUAGCUCAUAUGCAGCUCAGAUAACCUUAUUAUUAUUCAUACGUGUACUUAGACCCGUCCACUUGUGAAUGUAUCACCCGGGAUGCAUGUUAAUGCUAGGUGUAAACAGGGCGUUAUCCACACAUGAAACACCAGCAGGCUCUGUUGUACUUACAAUUAAAGAGGAGGUGCAAACACACCUUAACAAGUUCUGCAGCUUGAGAGAGAGGGAGACUGAUGAGACAGAGGUCGGUGACCUUAACAACGAGGAAAGUUCAUGCAGCUUGUCGGCACCUGUGUGUGUUUGACUGGCUGCGUUAAAGGUGUCGGACUGUUUGAUCAAAGUCCCGAGACUCUUCAAAGUCCAGAGUGCGAGAUGAAGAGGCGCCCGGGUGAUGAAUGACCUCGUCCCUCAGUCCACCUCUCUAAUUUUCCUUUUUGGAAAAUGAAAUGAGCUCGUCUGUGUCUGCGCUGCUCGUUAAUUGCUCCUCACGAGUAGCGUUCGAGAAAGUGGAUGACAAAGUGAGCAUACCAUCUGCAGCAGCUGCUUACCGGAGGCUAAUGCCCCGAGAGCACGCAUACUGUCCUGACACUGGCAUUUCUCACUCCGCGCUGCUCCUGCAGUCAGGAGCAAAAAAAAAAAAAAAAAAAAACACCUCGGGUUGAAUAAUUUAGCCGGCGAUCAUCCACAAAGGCAGCCUGAGCGGGGAUGGCCUCGAGGCUGCAUAGUUUACACAUGUUCCAUUUCUGUUUGGAUGCUGUAAAUAAAGACGCGGUUUAUGUUCGAUGUGAGUGAAAAGAUCGGCGAAUCGAUUACCGGAUCCGAGUGGGAGUGCGAUGACUGAUAUUUACUAUAAGAUCAUCAUGAGCAGUAAAGAGUGGAGAUUUGUUGAGUGAUCUGCAGCGCUGUCCCACUUGGCGAAGUGCUGAAUUGUGUUUGAUUUCAUAAAUAAUUGCAGUCAUCAGGGACACACAUUGUUUUAGGCUUAACCGUGUUGUUUACCCAUGCCACAUGUCUGAGGGAGAGACACUGUUGUGGAUACACAUCGCCCUCAAGGAAUCUUACCAAGGGCCCACGGUUGGCAAGUGUAUUAAAGGCUUCUCCAGUGUGUGCGCAUAAGUGUGUGCCUUUGUGUGUGUUUGUUAGUGUCUGUUGUGUGAGUAAGUGAGGGAGAGAACUUAAAAGGGGGAGAGAAAAACAACAUGCAUCCAGUAGUUGAGGUAUUUAGGCGAAGCUGUAAGCAAACACAUCCGUGGCUAAUGAGGCCUGGCAUAUGGAGUGAUGAUUGGAAUUCAUCAUAGCUCACUGUUGCUGCGGUGCAGGAGUGUUACUCUCCAUCACUUAGACAACCACUAAAGACAAGAAGAAGUAACAGAGCUCCUUUUUUUUAUAUUUUUCUUUUUUUUUUUUACCCCAGUGUUAACAAAUUAACCGACACAUAUGUGGGCCAAAAAAGAAAGUUGAAAAGGAAAGGUGAUUGAUUGUUCCCCAGCUGCCUUCCUGUCAGCUCGGUUUUCUGUCAGCAGAGGAUACAUGAAAGAUGGAAACCAUCAACGCCUCUGGCCCAAAUCCCACUUUGCACUCACAAACGUAGAAAUUCUUCGAAAAUAACAGAAAAGCAAGAACUUUUCCCAUCCUCGUGACCCCAAGAGUUUUCAGAAUGAGAGGGGCAGAGCAGAAAUUUCUUUUGGAAGAGGUGUGGCGCACACUUCCACAUGUGUUCAUCAGAGCCUUGUGAGGAAGUCUCUGUGGUGGACUGUGUGCGUGUGCUUUUAUUUUUUUUGUGCACAGAUGCGUACACUUUGCAUUUGUGUGUGUGUGUGUGUGUGUGUGCUGCAGAAAGCUGAGAGGUGGAGGAAGUGCAGAGAGCUGAUUAAGAAUCGGUGUUUAGGCUUCCUCUGCCUGUGUUUCUGAGCUGGAGAUGAAAGGCAGCGGAGGUGGAGGUGUGGGUGCAGGUGCUUGAAUCUUCAUCUGAGUGUCUCCCUGCACAGUGGAGGGACUGCCGUGUCCCUAUUAUGGGUGAGUGCGGCGAGCUCAAUAGUCCCAGUCACCUCUCAAAAAACACAGCGGCGCAGUAAAAGCGGCGUGGUGCCAAUUAGGAUGAAGCGAGCAAACAUAUGCCUCCUUCAGAAAAAAAAAAAAAAAAAAUCCUGAUGAAAGUGCAUAUUGAUGCCAUAAAUUAGACGAGUACAAUAGAUUGUUGGGUGUUUGUGUGUAAAUGUUUAAUUAACCUGCUUGCCUACAUCGCUGCUGCGCUUCGCUGCUGAGGAAUCAAUCUACUUAGCAACCCAUUUAACAAUACAAGGCCUGCCUUGUAUGACACAUUCAUUGGGGACAGCCGAGCAGUUGUUAAUGUCUUCAAAUUAACAAAGCCAUUAACCCAAGUGAUAAUGGUCGGUUUUCGUGUGUGUGUGCUGGUUGUCCAAGGACGAUAACUCUGAAUAAAACCCCGGGACUAAUUUUCUUUAUGGCUUCAGAGAUCACAGAACACAGAGGGGGCCAUGAUGACCCCGUCCCAGAGGAGCCUGCUGUUUUGCCUGCAAGGUAAAGAGCUGGGAUGCAGAGGAGCUUUUUGAUUUAAUCACCGUGCUCCGCGGUGCACACUGUGUACUAGGAGGAGAUGGCAAUUAUAACGCCCAUGCCGGCCUGCUGUCCUGCCCGUGUGGUGAUGUAUUCCCCGGGGCGUCACGGGGAGACGGUGGCGGGGGCACCGCAGCCAUGAAAGAGAGCAGCAUUCCCCCUGCAGACACACCAGGCUUAUCACACUAAGAGCCAAUGACGAGCCGGAUCACUGGGGCGUGCCACACUUAGUUAGUGCCUCCGUUUGAGGAGAAUAAACACUUCAAAACAAG